rnacentral:rRNA from 1 species
CCNUGNAGGUCGACGAUUCCUACGGGAGGCAGCAGUGAGGAAUAUUGCGCAAUGUCCGAAAGGGUGACGCAGCGACGCCGCGUGGAGGAUGAAGGCCCUACGGGUCGUAAACUCCUUUUGAGGGAGAAGAAUAGCCCGCUACAGGCGGGUUUGACGGUAUCCCCCGAAUAAGCACCGGCUAACUACGUGCCAGCAGCCGCGGUAAUACGUAGGGUGCGAGCGUUGUCCGGAUUCACUGGGUGUAAAGGGAGCGCAGGCGGAUUGGCAAGUCAUUGGUGAAAUUCUCAGGCUCAACUUGAGAACGUACAAUGAUACUGCUAAUCUUGAGUGCGGAAGAGAAAGACGGAAUUCCUGGUGUAGCGGUGAAAUGCGUAGAUAUCAGGAAGAACACCGGUGGCGAAGGCGGUCUUUUGGUCCGUUACUGACGCUCAUGCUCGAAAGCGUGGGGAGCAAACAGGAUUAGAUACCCUGGUAGUCCACGCCCUAAACCAUGGAUACUCGAUGUCGGCCCGCAAGGGUCGGUGUCUAAGCUAACGCAUUAAGUAUCCCACCUGGGGAGUACGAUCGCAAGGUUGAAACUCAAAGGAAUUGACGG